UACGAGGGGGGCGAGCGUUGUUCGGAAUUAUUGGGCGUAAAGGGCGCGCAGGCGGCGCGGGAAGUCGGGCGUGAAAGCCCCGGGCUCAACCUGGGAACGGCGCUCGAGACUCUCGUGCUGGAGUUCGGGAGAGGAGCGUGGAAUUCCCAGUGUAGAGGUGAAAUUCGUAGAUAUUGGGAAGAACACCGGUGGCGAAGGCGGCGCUCUGGACCGAGACUGACGCUGAGGCGCGAAAGCGUGGGGAGCAAACAGG
rnacentral:misc_RNA from 1 species